UACGUAGGGUGCGAGCGUUGUCCGGAAUUAUUGGGCGUAAAGGGCUCGUAGGCGGUCUGUCACGUCGGGAGUGAAAACUCGGGGCUUAACUCCGAGCCUGCUUCUGAUACGGGCAGACUAGAGGUAUGCAGGGGAGAAUGGAAUUCCUGGUGUAGCGGUGAAAUGCGCAGAUAUCACGAGGAACACCGGUGGCGAAGGCGGCUUGCCAGAACGCGCUCGACGGUGAGGGAUGAAAGCUGGGGGAGCAAACCGG
rnacentral:rRNA from 1 species